AGCAGCCGCGGUAAUUCCAGCUCCAAAAGCGUAUAUUAAAGUUGUUGCAGUUAAAAAGCUCGUAGUUGAAUUUCGGGAUCAAUUUGUUGGUCGUACCUUGGUACGUACUGGCAUUAUUGGUUUCUCCCUUCUGAGAAUCCUUGAUGUCAUUAAUUUGGUGUCUUGGGGAAUCAGGACUGUUACUUUGAAAAAAUUAGAGUGUUUAAAGCAGGCUCACGCUUGAAUACAUUAGCAUGGAAUAAUGAAAUAGGACGUUUGAUUCUAUUUUGUUGGUUUCUAGGAUCGACGUAAUGAUUAAUAGGGAUAGUUGGGGGCAUUAGUAUUCAAUUGUCAGAGGUGAAAUUCUUGGAUUUAUUGAAGACUAACUACUGCGAAAGCAUUUGCCAAGGAUGUUUUCAUUAAUCAAGAACGAAAGCUAGGGAUCGAAGACGAUCAGAUACCGUCGUAGUCUUAACCAUAAACUAUAGCCGACUAGGGAUCGGAUGAUGUUAAUUUUUAAUGUACUCAUUCGGCGUCCUUA
rnacentral:rRNA from 1 species